ACUCCUACGGGAGGCAGCAGUGGGGAAUAUUGCACAAUGGGCGCAAGCCUGAUGCAGCCAUGCCGCGUGUGUGAAGAAGGCCUUCGGGUUGUAAAGCACUUUCAGUUGUGAGGAAAGGUUAGUCGCUAAUAUCGGCUAGCUGUGACGUUAGCAACAGAAGAAGCACCGGCUAACUCCGUGCCAGCAGCCGCGGUAAUACGGAGGGUGCGAGCGUUAUCCGGAUUUAUUGGGUUUAAAGGGUCCGUAGGCGGGUUAAUAAGUCAGUGGUGAAAUCCCAUCGCUUAACGAUGGAACUGCCAUUGAUACUGUUAGUCUUGAAUGAGGGUGCAGUGGUUGGAAUGUGUAGUGUAGCGGUGAAAUGCAUAGAUAUUACACAGAACACCGAUUGCGAAGGCAGAUCACUAACCCUAAAUUGACGCUGAGGGACGAAAGCGUGGGGAGCGAACAGGAUUAGAUACCCUGUAGGCUCUG
rnacentral:rRNA from 1 species